rnacentral:rRNA from 1 species
AACGAACGCUGGCGGCAGGCCUAACACAUGCAAGUCGAACGAAGCCUUCGGGCUUAGUGGCGAACGGGUUAGUAACGCGUGGGAACAUACCCUUCUCUAAGGAAUAGUCUCGGGAAACUGGGGGUAAUGCCUUAUACGCCCUUUGGGGGAAAGAUUUAUCGGAGAUGGAUUGGCCCGCGUUAGAUUAGAUAGUUGGUGGGGUAAUGGCCUACCAAGUCUACGAUCUAUAGCUGGUUUGAGAGGAUGAUCAGCAACACUGGGACUGAGACACGGCCCAGACUCCUACGGGAGGCAGCAGUGGGGAAUCUUAGACAAUGGGGGAAACCCUGAUCUAGCCAUGCCGCGUGAGUGACGAAGGUCUUAGGAUCGUAAAGCUCUUUCGCUGGGGAAGAUAAUGACUGUACCCAGUAAAGAAGUCCCGGCUAACUCCGUG